AAACUGCCUGAUGGAGGGGGAUAACUACUGAAUACUGUAGCUAAUACCGAAUAACGGCGCAGGACCAAUCAGGGGGACCUUCGGGCCUCUUGCCAUCAGAUGUGCCCAGAUGGUAUUAGCUUGUAUGUGGGGUAAUGGCUCACCUACGCGACGAUCCCUAGCUGGUCUGAGAGGAUGACCACCCACACUGAAACUGACACACGGCCCACACUCCUACGGGAGGCAGCUGUGGGGAAUAUUGCACAAUGGGCGCAACCCUGAUGCAGCCAUGCCGCGUGUGUGAAGAAGGCCUUCGUUUUGUAAAGCACUUUCAACGAAGAAGAAGGUGGUGAACUUAAUACCUUCAUCAAUUGACGUUACUCGCAUAACAAGCACCGGCUAACUCCGUGCCAUCAGCCGCGUUAAUACAGAGGGUGCAAGCGUUAAUCUGAAUUACUGGGCGUCAAGCGCACUCAGGCGGUUUGUUAAUUCACAUGUGAAAUCCCCGGGCUCAACCUGGAAACUGCAUUUGAAACUGACAAGCUAGAGUCUCGUAUAGGGGGGUAGAAUUCCUAGUGUAGCGGUGACAUGCAUAGAGAUCUGGAUGAAUACCGGUGG
rnacentral:rRNA from 1 species